AUUGAACGCUGGCGGCAGGCCUAACACAUGCAAGUCGAACGGUAGCACAGAGAGCUUGCUCUCGGGUGACGAGUGGCGGACGGGUGAGUAAUGUCUGGGAAACUGCCCGAUGGAGGGGGAUAACUACUGGAAACGGUAGCUAAUACCGCAUAACGUCUUCGGACCAAAGUGGGGGACCUUCGGGCCUCACACCAUCGGAUGUGCCCAGAUGGGAUUAGCUAGUAGGUGGGGUAAUGGCUCACCUAGGCGACGAUCCCUAGCUGGUCUGAGAGGAUGGCCAGCCACACUGGAACUGAGACACGGGCCAGACUCCUACGGGAGUCAGCAGUGGGGAAUAUUGCACAAUGGGCGCAAGCCUGAUGCAGCCAUGCCGCGUGUAUGAAGAAGGCCUUCGGGUUGUAAAGUACUUUCAGCGGGGAGGAAGGCGAUGUGGUUAAUAACCGCAUCGAUUGACGUUACCCGCAGAAGAAGCACCGGCUAACUCCGUGCCAGCCGCCGCCGUAA
rnacentral:rRNA from 1 species